GGAUUGGAAAUGGGCGAAGCCUGAUCCAGCAAUGCCGCGUGAGUGAGGAAGGUCUUCGGAUUGUAAAGCUCUUUCGGCGGGGACGAUGAUGACGGUACCCGCAGAAGAAGCCCCGGCUAACUUCGUGCCAGCAGCCGCGGUAAUACGAAGGGGGCUAGCGUUGCUCGGAAUGACUGGGCGUAAAGGGCGCGUAGGCGGUGAGUACAGUCAGACGUGAAAUUCCCGGGCUCAACCUGGGGGCUGCGUUUGAUACGUGCUUGCUUGAGUUCGGAAGAGGGUCGUGGAAUUCCCAGUGUAGAGGUGAAAUUCGUAGAUAUUGGGAAGAACACCGGUGGCGAAGGCGGCGACCUGGUCCGAUACUGACGCUGAGGCGCGAAAGCGUGGGGAGCAAACAGGAUUAGAUACCCUGGUAGUCCACGCCGUAAACGAUGUGUGCUGGAUGUUGGGCGGUCUGACCGUUCAGUGUCGUAGCUAACGCGAUAAGCACACCGCCUGGGGAGUACGGCCGCAAGGUUGAAACUCAAAAGAAUUGACGGA
rnacentral:rRNA from 1 species